CUAUACAUUAUUCCUCCAAAAAAAAGCUACGUGACGGAGUUUCCUUCUUUUAGCGAAAUCAACUUUUCGGCUUCCCUUCACCUAUAACAUCUAAUUAAUAGUCCACUAAGCUUAACCUAAUCCUUCGUCUUUCCUAUACACAUAACGUCGUCUUCCCUCCACCUACAAUAUCUAAUUCUUCCCUCCACCUAUAACAUCUAAUUAAUAGCCCACUCACCUUAAUCCAACCCUUCGCCUUUUCUACAAACAUAAUAUUUAAUUAAUAGUCUACUCAUCUUAAUCCAACCCUUCACCUUUCCUACAAACAUAACGUCUAAUUAAUAGUUCACCUACUUUAAUCCUAAUCUAAACAGUAAAUCGGAGAAAUCUACGAAAAGCCCAAUUCUCUUCUUCUCUAUUUUUUUUUUCCUCCUCCAUGAGCUCCAAGGCUAAGAUCAAGCACGUUAUGUAGAUGGAGUAUAAGUUUGCAUGCUGCAUCGUUGGGCUUAGCGUUACCAUCUUCAUCAAAUCGAGCUUUUCUUCAAAUUUCAGGAGUUAUUUUAAAAGAUUAAUGCAUUCUUUAUGUUGUAUCGUUAAAAUUUCUUUGAUAGUUUUAUUCAGUUUUUUUAAGUUUUUUUUAUUUGCACGGUAUUCAAACUAAUGUGUUUGUUAUGUUGAAGAUUUAUUAUUUUUUCUUUUUCUAUCCUUUGUUUUUUAUAUUUUUUUCUUGAAAGUGAAGUUCUGUAUUAUAUUUACUGUAUUUGGUUGUGUUAGGCUGUAUAUUUUUUUGUCUCUUAACUUUUCAUAUACUUUUUUUUUUUCUAUUUUUAUGACUUUUUUUAUUAACUGAUAUAAGCUGUUUAUAAAAUUAGAUUGAUAUAUGAUCUAAAAAGGUCUUCAUUUUCUUGA
rnacentral:lncRNA from 1 species